rnacentral:rRNA from 1 species
UACAGAGGUCUCAAGCGUUGUUCGGAUUCAUUGGGCGUAAAGGGUGCGUAGGCGGCGCGGUAAGUCGGGUGUGAAAGUCUCGGAGCUUAACUCCGAAACUGCAUUCGAUACUGCCGUGCUUGAGGACUGGAGAGGAGACUGGAAUUUACGGUGUAGCGGUGAAAUGCGUAGAUAUCGUAAGGAAGACCAGUGGCGAAGGCGGGUCUCUGGACAGUUCCUGA